UGGGAUGUAGCCAAGUGGUAAGGCUAUGGACUUUGACUCCAUCAUUCGUAAGGUUCAAUUCCUACCAUCCCAG
rnacentral:tRNA from 1 species